ensembl:lncRNA
AAGACAGACCGUACUGUGGGUUUUAUAAUGAACAGUGUGAAACUUCAGUUAUAAGUACGCCAGUGACCGUUCUGAUUGUCGUCCUGUUGGUAACCGCCUCAGGAGCUGCCAGCAUAAUGGUGUUUUUAAAGAUCCAGGAAAGGAAGCUACAAAAGCAAAUGGAUGACAUCUGGUGGAAAAUAAACUACAAUGAUAUUAUUAUGCUUAAAGAUCAUAAGGAUCAUUUUGAGCUAUCACAAACAAGCACACCAGU